rnacentral:rRNA from 1 species
GACGAACGCUGGCGGCGUGCUUAACACAUGCAAGUCGAACGGUGAUGCUCCAGCUUGCUGGAGUGGAUCAGUGGCGAACGGGUGAGUAACACGUGAGCAACCUGCCUCAGAGCGUGGGAUAAGCGCUGGAAACGGUGGCUAAUACUGGAUACGAAAAGGUGCCGCAUGGGCUUGGCUUGGAAAGUGUGUCGGCUUGGGAUGGGGUUGCGGCCUCUCAGCUUGUUGGUGAGGUAAUGGUGCACCAAGGCGACGACGGGUAGCCGGCCUGAGAGGGCGACAGGCCACACUGGGACUGAGACAGGGCCCAGACUCCUACGGGAGGCAGCAGUGGGGAAUAUUGCACAAUGGGCGGAAGCCUGGUGCAGCGACGCCGCGUGGGGGAUGACGGCCUUCGGGUUGUAAACCUCUUUCAGCAGGGAAGAAGCGAAAGUGACGGUACCUGCAGAAGAAGCACCGGCUAACUACGUG